rnacentral:lncRNA from 1 species
CUUGGUUUUUUCUUUCUUUUUAUCAACAGUGACUUUUGUGGCCAUUUUACUUAUUCUUUUGGAAGUAUAAACAACUGUCAUACAAGAUGGGGGUUUAGGUAGCUAUAACACCGGAUUAACCAAGCAUUUUCUAAAGAAAUGCCUAUACCAAGUCAGGAAUAUGCUAGUUGUUUUUCACUUGUUCUGUUGAUUAAUAGCAUUUGAUUUUGUCAGUUAUUUUGGACUUUCCGUUUUUGAAUUUACUAGUUCAGUAUUUUUUUUAUAACACUUUUAAAU